rnacentral:rRNA from 1 species
GAUGAACGCUGGCGGCGUGCUUAACACAUGCAAAUCGAACGGAAAGGCUCCUGCUUGCAGGGGUACUCGAGUGGCGAACGGGUGAGUAACACGUGGGUGAUCUGCCCUGCACUUCGGGAUAAGCCUGGGAAACUGGGUCUAAUACCGGAUAGGACGAUGUUUUGGAUGCCAUUGUGUAAAGUUUUUCGGUGUGGGACGAGCUCGCGGCCUAUCAGCUUGUUGGUGGGGUAAUGGCCUACCAAGGCGUCGACGGGUAGCCGGCCUGAGAGGGUGGACGGCCACAUUGGGACUGAGAUACGGCCCAGACUCCUACGGGAGGCAGCAGUGGGGAAUAUUGCACAAUGGGCGCAAGCCUGAUGCAGCGACGCCGCGUGGGGGAUGACGGCCUUCGGGUUGUAAACUCCUUUCGCUAGGGACAAAGCGCAAGUGACGGUAAUUGGAGAAGAAGCACCGGCUAACUACGUG